UACGUAGGUGGCAAGCGUGUCCGGAAUUAUUGGGCGUAAAGCGCGCGCAGGUGGUUUCUUAAGUCUGAUGUGAAAGCCCACGGCUCAACCGUGGAGGGUCAUUGGAAACUGGGGAACUUGAGUGCAGGAGAGAAGAGUGAAUUCCACGUGUAGCGGUGAAAUGCGUAGAGAUGUGGAGGAACACCAGUGGCGAAGGCGACUCUUUGGCCUGUAACUGACACUGAGGCGCGAAAGCGUGGGGAGC
rnacentral:rRNA from 1 species